ACGGGAGGCAGCAGUGGGGAAUAUUGGGCAAUGGGCGAAAGCCUGACCCAGCGACGCCGCGUGAGGGAAGAAGGUCUUCGGAUUGUAAACCUCUGUUGACAGGGAAGAAACAAAUGACGUUACCUGUCGAGGAAGUCACGGCUAACUACGUGCCAGCAGCCGCGGUAAUACGUAGGUGGCGAGCGUUAUCCGGAUUUACUGGGUGUAAAGGGUGUGUAGGCGGGGAGGCAAGUCAGAUGUGAAAUCUACAGGCUUAACUUGUAGACUGCGUCUGAAACUGUUUUUCUUGAGAGUCGGAGAGGUAAAUGGAAUUCCCAGUGUAGCGGUGAAAUGCGUAGAUAUUGGGAGGAACACCAGUGGCGAAGGCGGAUUACUGGACGACAACUGACGCUGAGACACGAAAGCGUGGGGAGCAAACAGGAUUAGAUACCCUGGUA
rnacentral:rRNA from 1 species